rnacentral:rRNA from 1 species
UGAGUGCGAGCUGCUACGGCAGCGAAGUUGGUGACGUCAAGCUUCCAAGAAAAGCCCUAUACCCGUUAAGGCAUCAUGGCCUGUACCCGAAACCGACACAGGUGGGGUGGUAGAGAAUACCGAGGGGCGCGAGGUAACUCUCUCUAAGGAACUCGGCAAAAUGGCCCCGUAACUUCGGGAGAAGGGGUGCCAGCGAGAGCUGGUCGCAGUGAAGAGGCCCAGGCGACUGUUUACCAAAAACACAGGUCUCCGCUAAGUCGCAAGACGAUGUAUGGGGGCUGACGCCUGCCCAGUGCCGGAAGGUUAAGGAAGCUGGUCAGCGCAAGCGAAGCUGGCGACUGAAGCCCCGGUGAACGGCGGCCGUAACAAUAACGGUCCUAAGGUAGCGAAAUUCCUUGUCGGGUAAGUUCCGACCCGCACGAAAGGCGUAACGAUCUGGGCGCUGUCUCGGAGAGAGGCUCGGCGAAAUAGAAUUGUCUGUGAAGAUGCGGACUACGUGCACCCGGACAGAAAGACCCUAUGAAGCUUUACUGUAGCUUGGUAUUGUGCUCGGGCUCGGAAUGCGCAGGAUAGGUGGGAGGCUUGGAUCCAUUGCUUGCGGGUGAUGGUGAGCCACUGGUGAGAUACCACUCUUUUCGAGCUUAAGUUCUAACCCUUACCCGUUAUCCGGGGAGGGGACAGUAUCAGGUGGGCAGUUUGACUGGGGCGGUCGCCUCCUAAAAGGUAACGGAGGCGCGCAAAGGUUCCCUCAGGCUGGUUGGAAAUCAGCCGACGAGUGCAAAGGCAGAAGGGAGCUUGACUGUGAGACCUACAAGUCGAACAGGGACGAAAGUCGGCCUUAGUGAUCCGACGGUUCUGCGUGGAAGGGCCGUCGCUCAACGGAUAAAAGUUACUCUAGGAUAACAGGCUGAUCUCCCCCAAGAGUUCACAUCGACGGGGAGGUUUGGCACCUCGAUGUCGGCUCAUCGCAACCUGGGGCUGAAGUCGGUCCCAAGGGUUGGGCUGUUCGCCCAUUAAAGCGGUACGCGAGCUGGGUUCAGAACGUCGUGAGGCAGUUCGGUCCAUAUCCGGUGCACGCGCAGGAAUAUUGAGAGGAUUUCUCCCUAGUACGAGAGGACCGGGAGGAACGCACCUCUGGUGUGCCAGUUAUCGUGCCAACGGUAAACGCUGGGUAGCCAUGUGCGGAGAGGAUAACCGCUGAAAGCAUCUAAGUGGGAAGCCCACCUCAAGAUGAGUAUUCCCAUGGCAUAAGCCAGUAAGGUCACGGGAAGAUUACCCGUUGAUAGGCUCUACGUGGAAGCGCAGAC